CACCGCGGUUAUACGAGAGGCUCAAAUUGACACUUUUCGGCGUAAAGUGUGACUAGAGAACAAGACAAUCUAAAGCCAAACACCCCCUAAGCUGUCAUACGCAACUGGGAGCAUGAGGCCCUCCAACGAAAGUAGCUUUAAUAAACAUCUUGAAUUCACGACAGUUAAGAAA
rnacentral:rRNA from 1 species